AUUUAUAUAGUUUAAUAAAACAUUACAUUUUCAUUGUAAAAAUAAAGCAUAACUUUUAUAAAUA
rnacentral:tRNA from 1 species